rnacentral:rRNA from 1 species
UGGCGAACGGGUGAGUAAUACGUGGGCAACUUGCCCCUAAGUUCGGGAUAGCCCGCCGAAAGGCGGGGUAAUACCGGAUGUGGUCGCUCCGCGAUUGCGGAGUUGUCUAAAGGUGGGGAUUCUUCGGAACCUAUCGCUUAGGGAUGGGCCCGCGGCCUAUCAGCUUGUUGGUGAGGUAACGGCUCACCAAGGCAUAGACGGGUAGCUGGUCUGAGAGGAUGGUCACCCACACUGGGACUGAGACACUGCCCAGACUCCUACGGGAGGCUGCAGUCGAGAAUCAUUCACAAUGCGCGAAAGCGUGACGAUGCGACGCCGCGUGGAGGAUGACGGCCUUCGGGUUGUAAACUCCUGUCAUGAGGGAACAAGGAUGCCGGGGUUAAUACCCCCGCUAUUUGAUGGUACCUCAAGAGGAAGCCACGGCUAACUCUGUGCCAGCAGCCGCGGUAAUACAGAGGUGGCGAGCGUUGUUCGGAUUUACUGGGCGUAAAGGGUGCGUAGGCGGUUUUGUGUGUCAGAUGUGAAAGCCAACGGCUUAACCGUGGAAUUGCAUUUGAAACUACAGGACUAGAGUACAGGAGGGGAGAGGGGAAUUCAGGGUGUAGCGGUGAAAUGCGUAGAUAUCCUGAAGAACACCGGUGGCGAAGGCGCCUCUCUGGACUGAUACUGACGCUCAUGGACGAAAGCUAGGGGAGCGAAGAGGAUUAGAUACCCUCGUAGUCCUAGCCGUAAACGGUGUGCACUUGAUGUUGGAGGUUUUAGCCCCUUCAGUGUCGGAGCUAACGCGUUCAGUGCACCGCCUGGGGAGUACGGCCGCAAGGCUAAAACUCAAAGAAAUUGACGGGGGCCCGCACAAGCGGAGGAGCAUGUGGCUUAAUUCGAUGCAACGCGAAGAACCUUACCAGGGCUUGACAUGUAACUGCAUACGACCAGAAACGGACGUAGCUUUCGAAGGUGCUGCACAGGUGCUGCAUGGCUGUCGUCAGUUCGUGCCGUGAGGUGUUGGGUUAAGUCCCGCAACGAGCGCAACCCGCGUCGUUAGUUGCCACUUCAGUCGAAAGGCGGAAGCACUCUAAUCAGACUGCCUGUGAUAAGCGGGAGGAAGGUGGGGAUGACGUCAAGUCAGUAUGGUCCUUAUGUCCAGGGCUGCACACGUGCUACAAUGGAGGGUACAGAGCGAAGCGAAACCGCGAGGUGGAGCAAAUCGUUAAAACCUUCCUCAGUUCGGAUUGGAGUCUGCAACUCGACUCCAUGAAGCCGGAAUCGCUAGUAAAGGCGUAUCAGCUACGACGCCUUGAAUACGUUCCCGGGCCUUGUACACACCGCCCGUCACAUCACGAAAGUCGACUGCACCCGAAGUCGCCGGGCCAAUCCACUUCGGUGGAAGGCAGGUGCCGAAGGUGUGGUUGAUGAUUGGGAUG